AUGGAGCCUCUGCUGCUUCUCCUUUGUCUGCUCGCCGCCCCCCGCUGUGUCCUCUCCCAGGUGCAGCUGGUCCAGACCGGCCAGGGGGUGGUGAAGCCGGGAGCGACCCUCAGUCUCACCUGCAAAGUCUCCGGUGUCUCUGUCAGCAGCUACUAUUGGAGCUGGGCCCGGCAGUCCCCCAGGAAAGGGCUGGAGUGGCUCGGGUUUAUCCGGGAUACAGCGAACGGGGGGACCGCGGAGUAUAACUCGGCUUUCAAACCUCGUGUCACCAUCACCAGGGACACCUCGAAGGAGGAAGUUUAUCUGCAGUUUGGUUCGCUGACAGCUGCGGACACCGCCACCUAUUACUGCGCCAGACACACACUGUGA